rnacentral:rRNA from 1 species
GACGAACGCUGGCGGCGUGCUUAACACAUGCAAGUCGAACGGAAAGGCCCUGCUUUUGUUGGGUUCUCGAUUGGCGAACGGGUGAGUAACACGUGAGUAACCUGCCCUUGACUUUGGGAUAACUUCAGGAAACUGGGGCUAAUACCGGAUAUGAGCUCCUGCUGCAUGGUGGUGGUUGGAAAGUUUCGGCUGUUGGGUCUGGACUCGCGGCUUAUCAGCUUGUUUGUUGGGUAGUGGCUUACCAAGGCUUUGACGGGUAGCCGGCCUGAGAGGGUGACCGGCGAACUUGCGACUAAGAGACGGCCCAGAAUGCUACGGGAGGCAGCAGUGGGAAAUAUUGCACAAUGGGCGGAAGCCUGAGGCAGAAACGCCGCGUGCGGGAUGCCGGGCUUCGGGUUGUAAACAGCUUUCGCAUGUGACAAAGAGUGAGUGACGGUAAUGGGUAAAGAAGCAACGGCUAACUACGUG